UUUAGGCUUUGCUUGACUUGCAGCAGGUUUGCUGCUUGGUUUGGCAGGUGCACUUUUGGGUGCUGCAGGCUUAGUGGCACCCUUGGCAGCGGCUGGUUUUGCAGGAGCCUUUUGUUGCGCUGGCUUCUUCGUCGCUUCCUUGACAGCUUGCUGUUUAGCAGGGGCAGGCUUUCCUGCUUGCUUCUGGGCUGGCUGACUCUUGCCGGCUUGCUGCUUUGCCGCAGGUGCAGCCUUUUUGGCAGGGGCGGUAGCAGCUGCAGGUUUCGCUGGUUUAGGUUUUGCCUCUGCCUUUGGUGCGGCAGGUUUCUUAGCUGCUGGGGCAGCAGCUGCAGGUUUCUUUGCAGCAGGCUUCUUAUCACCAGCAGCUGCUGCUGGCUUCUUCGGUGCAGUCUUAGGAGGCAUUAUCAGUUAAAACUAUAAUCAAGAAACAGAUAUACCAAUAAGACAGUGAUUUGAAAAGGGGGCUGAGUUUCAGAGACCACAAAAGAGAAAUGUUCUGUUGGCUUCAGAGGGGUAAAUUUAAAAUACCACUGCAAUUCAUUUGAAUAAAUAUUUACAUUAACUUUUACCAAUAUUUUUGGUAUUUUCAACACUUGGUGACGGGAUGAGUCUAAUGCUUUGUUCCUGUCUAAAUUAAAGAGUAAAACAAACCAAGGAUUUCAAAAGCAUGUCAGAAAUAACAACAGCAACUUAAGGAGCUGUUGAGCAAAGAAUUCUCAGGUGAAAUUAUGAAGAUUAGUGCUCUUGGGUAAAAAUAAUUUCUGAAUAUAUAUUCUUGAACACACAGGGUUAUUCUAUGACUGCCUAUGAGGGGCUGCUUAUUCGCUGAGGGUACAUCAAUUUUUUUGAUUGCGUCACAUAGCAGCAUUGUUAAGGGAGGCAGUUCAUUCAAACUUCUGACUCUAACCAAUAAGUACCUCUGUAUUGCUGGUUAAUACUGAUGCAAAAGCGCAUAUCGACGGUGUAAGUCGGCAAUCACAUCACUCGGUUUGCGACAUUGCAGACUUCCUGUCAUACUUUCUAUUAUGAACGGAAAACUACUCAAUGGCAAUUCUUUAAAACUGAUGUGAUUUUUCUUCUCUGUACAAAGAAAAUUCUGCAUGAACUUCAAGGAAUGAUGUCAAUUUGUUCUCUUUUAAAAAAAAUAGCACAAAGGCGGAGAUUUUCAGACACUGCAAACGAGUUAUGCGAUUGCCAACUUACACCGUCGACAUGCCAACUAACUCUGGUUGGAAGCAGAUCAUGGAGUUUUGGUAUAUAGAGAAAUGCUGUUAGCAGGGGUUGAGAUCCAUACCCUUUACAGUUAUAUAAAGAUUUUGAAAAGGACACCUCUUAGUUUGUAUUGCUGAAUAUAAGCUCAAUCUGCACUGAAAUGCUGGAAGAAACGUAGCUAUCUGGUGGAGUGGAUUCGUAUGCAAGUAUCAUGACAACAGGAAAGUUCAGAAUAGGCUACCGAGACGCCCGCAGAACAGAGAAGUCAAAAACGUCUGCAUUCUACACGGACUAUUAUGAGAAUAAAUGCUGUUCAGAGCAUCACAUCACAGAAUGACUGAAGCAUGCUUACUGAACCAAACAUGCCUGCGCUCAUAUGGAAAGAUAUAAAUGGUGAUGCCUAUGUAAGAAAAAUAAUGGUUUAGAGAGGAAAGAGAAAAGAUUGUAUGGGACAAUGCUCUCCGAAAAAAGAAAGAAAUCGCAACUUGAUUUAAAUUUGAAAUCUAAGUGUAACAUAGGCUUCGGCGGCCACAUGACACCGAUAGACGCGCGUGGUGCGCUCGGUACCCUGGAUUAAAGAGAACGUGAAAAGCGACAAAUCUCACAAGGGAACCAUGGGAGGAAAUGAUGCAGAAUUACUUACGGAAAAAAUCCAGAAUAAAAGAAAGAAAAGCCACGUACAACUUUGUCAAAUACUGGGACCGUCCGGUUCUACAGAGAAUCUGCUUUGGUUAGGACAGCAAGAAAAAAAAUGACAUUUUAUAGGACGGAACGGCAGCACCAGCGGCGAACCAACUUUGAACCAAACAACAGCGCUUGCGUUGCACUGUUGCUAUAUUUGAAUUUCAGCGGAACGUUCCUUAAUUGAACUGCAAAUUUUCAUUUCAUCCCAAUUUUUCCAAAUAUUCCUUUUAACAUCACCAACACCACCGCACUACCAACACAACACGCUUACAUUUGAUUGUGUUGGAGGCAAGACCAAUCCACACAGGUCAGGUCAGUCAUUCCCGUGGACGAGUUUUGGUCCUCUACUGCGCAGUGACGUACUAUUGAGUGCACGCAAUGUAUGGUUGCGUUCCAGAAUUCAUCUUUUUGAUGGAUCGUCAAUCGGUUGUAUAGUAGAACAUGGCGUCAUGCUGACGUAACCGAUGGAGUCUGAUGGAAAGUCAGAUGACGUAUCUUCGAUUGAUCCCAAAAACGCUUUGAUGAAAUUUUCGAUGACGAGUUUGUUAUGUUUAUUAUUAUCACUUAUCAGCGAAACAUGGCGAAACAAUCUAUAAUAUCUGUUUUCUUCAAUUUUAAGCGUUUGGGGCUUUAUUUCAGUAGCGAAAUUGCUGGCAAUUCAGUCCUUUGAGUUUUUCGAUUAUUCUGUAGGAUUUGUUUUGAGUCUUGUCCUUCCAUCUGUUAAAGUUUACCCAAGUGAAGUUGCUAUCCUAGAGUGUUUUGCUUUCUUGAUGUUACUUGUAACUGCUCUCUGUGUCAUUUGGACACCUUAUUUAUUUUCACAUGAUAUCUUUCUGCUUACAUGCUAGAGAUCUGAUGUUUGAUCUCACCAGCUGAUUAAAGGCAGUCGAAACAGAUGAUCCUGUAUGGAUCGUCUGUCCGUUUAAGUGUUAGUAAGCAUUUCUCUCAAUACACAAGUAGUCCUGAUCGCUUUCUCAGUGGCUUGUCGCUACUUUGUUCGCACACAUCGCUGAAGACCCCAACAACUUCAGGCGAGAAAUCAACCAUUGAGGAGAGCCUUUAAGUCCUCAAGAAGGAAGCUGAGCCACUGAAUAUUUCUUGAGAACUAAGGUUGUGCAGAUGGACCUGCAAGUUUGCUUGGUUUCAGGAAAUUUUAUUGGCAGGCUCUGUAACAUGGCAUUCAUUGGAAGCAAUCGCAGCAAAACCUUGGAAACUAUCAAUAUUAUUAAGUGAGUUAGAUAGCAUCUCAGCAGAUUCAAUCGUGCUCUGCGUCAGAGCUCAGUACUGAGACUUCCGCAGACUGUGUUCAUUCUUUGACACUUUGUGCAAAGAAGUUUAG
rnacentral:lncRNA from 1 species